rnacentral:rRNA from 1 species
UACGUAGGGCGCAAGCGUUGUCCGGAAUUAUUGGGCGUAAAGAGCUCGUAGGCGGCCAGUUGCGUCUGCUGUGAAAUCCCGGGGCUCAACCCCGGGCGUGCAGUGGAUACGGGCUGGCUAGAGGCAGGCAGGGGAGAACGGAAUUCCCGGUGUAGCGGUGAAAUGCGUAGAUAUCUGGAGGAACACCGGUGGCGAAGGCGGCAUCCUGGACCAUUACUGACGCUGAGGAGCGAAAGCCAGGGGAGCAAACGGG